rnacentral:rRNA from 1 species
CCUGCGGAGGGAUCAUUACACAAAUAUGAAGGCGGGCUGGAACCUCUCGGGGUUACAGCCUUGCUGAAUUAUUCACCCUUGUCUUUUGCGUACUUCUUGUUUCCUUGGUGGGUUCGCCCACCACCAGGACAAACAUAAACCUUUUGUAAUUGCAAUCAGCGUCAGUAACAAAUUAAUAAUUACAACUUUCAACAACGGAUCUCUUGGUUCUGGCAUCGAUGAAGAACGCAGCGAAAUGCGAUAAGUAGUGUGAAUUGCAGAAUUCAGUGAAUCAUCGAAUCUUUGAACGCACAUUGCGCCCUUUGGUAUUCCAAAGGGCAUGCCUGUUCGAGCGUCAUUUGUACCCUCAAGCUUUGCUUGGUGUUGGGCGUCUUGUCUCUAGCUUUGCUGGAGACUCGCCUUAAAGUAAUUGGCAGCCGGCCUACUGGUUUCGGAGCGCAGCACAAGUCGCACUCUCUAUCAGCAAAGGUCUAGCAUCCAUUAAGCCUUUUUUUCAACUUUUGACCUCGGAUCAGGUAGGGAUACCCGCUGAACUUAAGCAUAUCAAUAAGCGGAGGAA